rnacentral:rRNA from 1 species
GACGAACGCUGGCGGCGUGCUUAACACAUGCAAGUCGAACGGAAAGGCCCUGCUUUUGUGGGGUGCUCGAGUGGCGAACGGGGGAGUAACACAUGAGUAACCUGCCCUUGACCUUGGGAUAACUUCAGGAAAAUGGGGCUAAUACCGGAUAGGAGCUCCUGCUGCAUGGUGUGGGUUGGAAAGAUUCGGCGGUGGGGGAUGGACUCGCUGGUUAUCAGCUUGUUGGUGGGGUAGUGGCUUACCAAGGCUGUGACGGGUAGCCCGCCUGAGAGGGUGAACGGCCACAAUGGGACUGAGAUACGGAGCAGUCUCCUACGGGAGGCAGCAGUGGGGAAUAUGGCACAGUGAGCGGGAGCCAGAUGCAGCAACGCCGCGUGCGGGAUGACGGCCUUCGGGUUGUAAACCGAUGUCGACUGUGAUGAAGCGUGAGUGACGGUAAUGGGUAAAGAAGCACCGGCUAACUACGUG